AGAGUUUGAUCCUGGCUCAGAGUGAACGCUGGCGGUAGGCCUAACACAUGCAAGUCGAACGGCAGCACAGUAAGAGCUUGCUCUUACGGGUGGCGAGUGGCGGACGGGUGAGGAAUACAUCGGAAUCUACUUUUUCGUGGGGGAUAACGUAGGGAAACUUACGCUAAUACCGCAUACGACCUACGGGUGAAAGCAGGGGAUCUUCGGACCUUGCGCGAUUGAAUGAGCCGAUGUCGGAUUAGCUAGUUGGCGGGGUAAAGGCCCACCAAGGCGACGAUCCGUAGCUGGUCUGAGAGGAUGAUCAGCCACACUGGAACUGAGACACGGUCCAGACUCCUACGGGAGGCAGCAGUGGGGAAUAUUGGACAAUGGGCGCAAGCCUGAUCCAGCCAUACCGCGUGGGUGAAGAAGGCCUUCGGGUUGUAAAGCCCUUUUGUUGGGAAAGAAAUCCAGCUGGUUAAUACCCGGUUGGGAUGACGGUACCCAAAGAAUAAGCACCGGCUAACUUCGUGCCAGCAGCCGCGGUAAUACGAAGGGUGCAAGCGUUACUCGGAAUUACUGGGCGUAAAGCGUGCGUAGGUGGUUGUUUAAGUCUGUUGUGAAAGCCCUGGGCUCAACCUGGGAACUGCAGUGGAAACUGGACGACUAGAGUGUGGUAGAGGGUAGCGGAAUUCCUGGUGUAGCAGUGAAAUGCGUAGAGAUCAGGAGGAACAUCCAUGGCGAAGGCAGCUACCUGGACCAACA
rnacentral:rRNA from 1 species